GUCGAUCUUUGUCCUUUAUGUAAACAACCGCCGCGCUGCUGACGCGCGACCGCGACGUCGCGUCGCGCUGCUGACGUCAGCAUGACCAUUUCCCGUGACUCCCGGUUCAAGAUGGUGGACAGGUCUGCACGUCGUCAACCAGCUAAAGCGAUCAUCUAGUGUUUCUAUGUAUCUCUAUGAAGCCAAAUCCCAAAGUAGUAGUAGAAGAAGAAGCACAUGUGAUUGGCGCUUUGCUGAAGGGCUGCUCACGCCAGAAGGGCGACGCGA